ACAGCCGGGUCUGAAUUAUCACCUUAUGCCUGUCAAGCAAUCACUCAUCUCUACUCUGUGCACAGCACUGAAUUAAGCUCUUGGGAGAAUGUGGGAGAAUUAAUAAUAAUAAUAAUAAUAAUGUCGGUAUUUGUUAAGCGCUUACUAUGAGCAGAGCACUGUUCUAAGCGCUGGGCUAGAUGCAGGGUAAUCAGGUUGUCCCACGUGAGGCUCACAGUUUUAAUCCCCAUUUUACAGAUGAGGUAACAGGCACAGAGAAGUGAAGUGACUUGCUCACAGUCACACAGCUGACAAGUAGCAGAUUAGAACACAGGAUCCCUCCCCUCAAGGAGCUUUUACAAUCUAGUGGGGAAGACAGAUGCUAAAAUAACUUACAGGUAGGGGAAAUGACAGAGUUUAAACAUAUGUAGACAAGUGCUAUGGAUUUUCCCCAAGCUAAGCACAGGGAAAACCCUCACUGGGAAGCAGCGUAGCCUAGUGAAAAUACCACGGGCUCGGGAGUCAGGGACCUGGGUUCUAAUCCCAGCUCUGCCACUUGUCAGCUGUUUGACCUUGGGCAAGUAACUUAACUUUUUUGAGUCUCAGUUUUCUCAUUUUCAAAAUGAAGAUUAAGACUCAGAACCCAUUUGGGACAUGGACCGUAUCCAACCCGAGUAUCUUGUAUCUACUCCAGCUCUUAGUCCAGUACUUAGCACAGAAUACUAUCAUUUUUUAAAAAGCAACAAAUUAUAACAGUGACAACCAUAGGACUGUCCUAAUUCAAGUUUCAAAACGGUGUAAAUGAGAUCACAUUUAACCUGGGAGAAAAUGCUAUAAUUAGACUUGUAGAAAAAUCCUUUAAAGCACUCAUUUAUUAAAGCGGUUAUCUGGAGAUAAUAGGUAACAGUGAACUGAAAUACCAGUUUAUUUCAACAGGUUGCAGCCUGGUGGUAACUGGAAUAUAAACUCUGAACUAGAUGUCUCUGGUCGGCCUUCUCCCAAGUAACAACGGGAGCUGGAACUGGAAACGUCUUCAGUGUCUCCUCAGCACCCUAAGUCUGCAAAACCUGCAGCAAAUGGACAAAGUGACUCAAGGACCAGGACCCAAAUUGUACUUUCCAAGCGCUUAGUACAGUACUCUGCCCAUAGUAAAGCUCAAU
rnacentral:lncRNA from 1 species